rnacentral:rRNA from 1 species
AACGAACGCUGGCGGCAUGCCUAACACAUGCAAGUCGAACGAGACCUUCGGGUCUAGUGGCGCACGGGUGCGUAACGCGUGGGAACCUGCCCUUAGGUUCGGAAUAACUCCCCGAAAGGGGUGCUAAUACCGGAUAAUGUCUUCGGACCAAAGAUUUAUCGCCUUUGGAUGGGCCCGCGUUGGAUUAGCUAGUUGGUAGGGUAAAAGCCUACCAAGGCGACGAUCCAUAGCUGGUCUGAGAGGAUGAUCAGCCACACUGGGACUGAGACACGGCCCAGACUCCUACGGGAGGCAGCAGUGGGGAAUAUUGGACAAUGGGCGAAAGCCUGAUCCAGCGAUGCCGCGUGAGUGAUGAAGGCCUUAGGGUGGUAAAGCUCUUUUACCCGGGAUGAUAAGGACAGUACCGGGAGAAUAAGCUCCGGCUAACUCCGU